GGCAGUGUGGUGUAGUGGUUUGAGCGUUGGACUAUGACUCUGGAGACCAGGGAUCAAAUCCCCAUUUGGCCA